rnacentral:misc_RNA from 1 species
UAGUCAGAAAAAAAGCUUAUGUCGCCCAUUGUUGUGCCAGUCUGUCUACCUAUAAAGACGUUGCGUGGCCGCUUUUGGAAUUUUCAUUUUGUACCUUCACCACUUGGUUUGGCAGCAAAGUCAUGGAAGGAAGAAAGCUGUUAACUACCUUUCUGCUUAUCUCUACCUUCAUGGUGUGGAAAUCAAGUGGAAAGGUUUACAAUUUCAAAAAGGAGACACCAGACAUUGGUUGGAGUUUUUGAUAAAAAGAAUGUCAUAUAUACACAUGUUUACGGAAGUACAAAUAAAGUAAAAGAAGAAAUUGAAUAUUCUGAUAAAGUCUUCAAAUGUGCUGUGAUUCACGUCAUGUCAAUGUCUUCCUUUUAUGGUGAUAUCAAGAGAUACGACCUGCGAGUUUGGAACUCAUCCAACAUAGCCACUUCUGCUCAACCGUGUCUUCAAGCGUUCCAGAAAGUAAAACACCGAGGACACCUCAUUUACAAAAAUUUUUGCCAGAACAUAUUACACAAACCAUUGCAGACCAUGAAUUUUAAAGAACAGCAAAUCCCAUUGCAGUCUUUUUGUAGCAAUGUAGCAUGACUUACAAACGCCAGAAGGAAACACCUAAUGAAAGCACUUAGCACGCAAAAUUAUUGCAUGGAAAUAAUAUACAUUUCACAGUGGUGCGUAUUCUGCGUUGAAAGAAAGCGAAGAGUGCACAUAAGAUAUUGUUAGUGAGGCAUAACAUAGCCAUCACAUCAGAAAUAAUGUUACCUUGACAGUUAACCGCAGCCUAAAAUGAAGGUUAGCCGCAAUACCAAUCUUGCAUCCUAAUUCGCAUUGCCUAAAGAGUAUUUGCGCUCUCUAUGACGUCGAUGUUCUGUCGUCCGCGCGCGGCGUCAGUUAACUAUGAACUGCCCACCUGUUCAAGGCAAGGUUGGCAAAGGAGCUUGCACUGCCAAGAGCAAGUCAGUCAGUGGAAUGUAAUACAGUCGUUGUACAGAGUCUGCCCUUCUCGUGCGGACGGUGCUGCGUACAUAGGUCAAUUAGAAAGAUGGAUAUUUGUCAUAAUAAAGGAACGGGAAACUAGAAAA